rnacentral:rRNA from 1 species
ACACCCACUUUCCAGCUCAACAAAAACAACUAUAUUUUCUCACCCAUUUUAACCAAACCAUUUGCCCAGGUAAGUAAAUGCGAUUGAACCUUAAACAUAUUGACGCUAUAGCAAACCAGUACCGCAGGGGAAAAAUGAAAUAUAUUAAUUCAACCAUAUGGAAAAAAAGCAGGAAUAAACCCCCGUACCUCUUGCAUCAUGAUUUAGCCAGAAACAUACAAACAAAACGCCAUUAAAGCUUGUACCCCCGAAAUCAGGUGAGCUACUUUCUAAGGCAGCCUAAUUAAGAGCCUACCCGUCUCUGUAGCAAAAGAGUGGGACGACCUGGAAGUAGAAGCGAAAAACCUAACGAACCUGAUGAUAGCUGGUUACCUAUUAAAUGAACCUUAGUUCAAUUUCAAGUUAUUAACACACCCCUUAGUAAACUUUUACACUUGAAAGCUAUUCAAUAGGGGUACAGCCCUAUUGAAACAGGAUACAACCUCACAAGGAGAACCAUAGACUACACCACCAACUAGUAGGCCCUCAAGCAGCCAUCACAAAACUUAAAGCGUCACAGCUACCUCACCAAAAAUACCCGAACAAACACCAACCUCCCUGCCAAUCAAUAGGUAAUUCUAUAACAUAGAAGAACUAAUGCUAAAAUUAGUAACAAGAAAAAUUCUCUCCGCACAUCUGUAAAUCAGCAAUAGAAUCACUACUGAUAAUUAACCAGACCCCCACUGGGUCUGACUCCUAACAUACAAGUAUUAAAAGUCUAAACCUCUGUUAACCCAACACAGGAGUGCAAACACAGAAAGAUUAAAAGUCAAAGAAGGAACUCAGCAAAAAUAUAUCCCAACUGUUUACCAAAAACAUAGCCUUUAGCCAAAAAUAUUAAAGGUCCCGCCUGCCCAGUGACACCACACGUUAAACGGCCGCGGUAUACUAACCGUGCAAAGGUAGCGUAAUCACUUGUCUCCUAAAUAGAGACCAGUAUGAAUGGCUAAAUGAGGAUAAGACUGUCUCCCAAGACUAAUCAGUAAAAUUGAUCUGCCAGUACAAAAGCUGGCAUAAACCCAUAAGACGAGAAGACCCUGUGGAGCUUUAGAUACACACCAAACAACCAUGGCACACUAUCUUUAGUUGGGGCGACUACGGAAACAAACAAAACUUCCAAGCAAAGGAAAAUUAUCCCCAAAGACGAACACGUCGACCCACAGACCCAGUACUACUGGAAAACGAACCAAGUUACCCCAGGGAUAACAGCGCUAUCUUCUUCUAGAGUCCCCAUCGCCAAGAAGGUUUACGACCUCGAUGUUGGAUCAGGAUACCCCAAUGGUGCAGCCACUAUUAAAGGUUCGUUUGUUCAACGAUUAAUAAUCCUACGUGAUCUGAGUUCAGACCGGAGAAAUCCAGGUCGGUUUCUAUCUAUGAAAAGUUUUCUUCAGUACGAAAGGACCAUGAAAACAGGACCAAUACUACCAGAACGUCCUUCCCAACAUAGCUG